UAGUAGUAUCCUUUAUCUUAUUGGCGGUUUCAUAAGUUGAGUAGAGGUAGCAAGCAGAAGGAAAUAGUGCUCUUCAGUAACUAUUUUCCGAUUACUUUAAGCAUUUAGAACACUUCUGUUGUGUAGGUAACGGAUUUAACCAGAAUGAAAACUGUUGAUCUCUAUGAAUUGCCCAAUAAUUUUAUCUGACUAGAAAUUUGCUUGAAACUGUGGAAAAGAUCCAAAUCUCACAGCCUGAGAAAAUUUCUGCCCAAGUAACACAUGACAUACACGGACCCACUAUGUUUAAUACAGCAAAUCUGACUCAUUGUCUCUAGCGUCUAAAAUAGAUGUGGAUGUGCUAUCAGCAUCAUUUAUCCUGCACGUCUAUAGGUAUUUAUUAGUUAGCUAAUCCGCUAUGUAAUGGGGGAAGUUUUUUAAUCUUUUAAACUAAAAUACUGCAGUAUUCCUGGAAUCAUGUAAUAUGAUUAUUUUAAAUGCCUCUC
rnacentral:lncRNA from 1 species